rnacentral:lncRNA from 1 species
GAAUCCCUAUAUUCUGCCUGUAUCUGCUUUCUGAGCUCUUCGGUCAGAAGAGGACCCUUUCCCUCAAGCUCCUUUAUUUUAAGACGAAGCUUGUGGCGUUUGUUCUUAUGUCUCCGUCCUUCAUCCUGGACCUUUGAUUGAGCCUCGCCAAGUUGAAUAGUCAGGCUUCGGUUGGCCGAAGAAAACUCCUCAUUCUUGGCCCUCAAGAGCAGGUUUUCUUCGACCAAGCCGGCGUUCAGAUCGGUUAAAGUUUGUUGGCUGGCUUCGGAGGCGGCCAACCUAUCUCUUGUGGCCCUUAGUUCAUCAUCAGACGUCCUCAAGUCCAUCUU